GAUGAACGCUGGCGGCGUGCUUAACACAUGCAAGUCGAACGGUGAACGAGGGAGCUUGCUCCCUCCGGAUCAGUGGCGAACGGGUGAGUAACACGUGAGCAAUCUGCCCCGAACUCUGGGAUAAGCGCUGGAAACGGCGUCUAAUACCGGAUACGACGCGCGAAGGCAUCUUCUGCGCGUGGAAAGAAUUUCGGUUCGGGAUGAGCUCGCGGCCUAUCAGCUAGUUGGUGAGGUAACGGCUCACCAAGGCGACGACGGGUAGCCGGCCUGAGAGGGUGACCGGCCACACUGGGACUGAGACACGGCCCAGACUCCUACGGGAGGCAGCAGUGGGGAAUAUUGCACAAUGGGCGAAAGCCUGAUGCAGCAACGCCGCGUGAGGGACGACGGCCUUCGGGUUGUAAACCUCUUUCAGUUGGGACGAAGGUUCGACGGUGAAUAGCCGGCCGGACUGACGGUACCUUCAGAAGAAGCUCCGGCUAACUAC
rnacentral:rRNA from 1 species